ACGGUAAUGCAAAGGAGCCAUUCAUCCAGGGAUGCUGGAGGUCUGGGCUCACCUGGGAAUGGAGAUGGCAACACCUACAUGUGACCUUUCCAGCAUGGCAGUCUCAGAGUGGAUAUGGCAACAGCUGCACAUGAACUCUCCGGCAUGGCAGUCUCAGAGUGGAUAUGGCAACAGCUGCACAUGACCUCUCCGGCAUGGCAGUCUCAGAGUGGAUAUGGCAACACCUGCACACGACCUCUCCGGCAUGGCAGUCUCAGAGUGGAUAUGGCAACACCUACACACGACCUCUCCAGCAUGGCAGUCUCAGAGUGGAUAUGGCAACAGCUACACAUGACCUCACCGGCAUGGCAGUCUCAGAGUGGAUAUGGCAACAGCUACACAUGACCUCACCAGCAUGGCAGUCUCAGGUUACUGGUACUUCUUAGGUCUCAGCUGAGGACUCCAGUGCAGGUGUUGCAAGACAGCAGACGUAGCACUGCUUAUGUGUAUCCUGAAGUCCCAUGUGUAUCCUGAAGUCCCAGAAAGCUGCUUCAAGUAGAUUCCAGUGGAGAAGGGAGUCACCAAGGCUGGACAGUCAUUUAUCCAUGGCAGGACUAGCAAAAAAAUCUGCACCAUCUCUCAUCGCACACACGUGGGUAAGGUUUGGACUGGUAUGAUCUUUUUCCAUAAUGUCAUUUUCGUGAUUUCUU
rnacentral:lncRNA from 1 species